rnacentral:rRNA from 1 species
GACGAACGCUGGCGGCGUGCUUAACACAUGCAAGUCGAACGAAGAGCGAUGGGAGCUUGCUUCUAUCAAUCUUAGUGGCGAACGGGUGAGUAACGCGUAAUCAACCUGCCCUUCAGAGGGGGACAACAGUUGGAAACGACUGCUAAUACCGCAUACGAUCUAAACUCGGCAUCGAGGAUAGAUGAAAGGUGGCCUCUACAUGUAAGCUAUCACUGAAGGAGGGGAUUGCGUCUGAUUAGCUAGUUGGAGGGGUAACGGCCCACCAAGGCGAUGAUCAGUAGCCGGUCUGAGAGGAUGGACGGCCCCAUUGGGACUGGGACACGGCCCAGACUCCUACGGGAGGCAGCAGUGGGGAAUCUUCCGCAAUGGACGAAAGUCUGACGGAGCAACGCCGCGUGAGUGAUGACGGCCUUCGGGUUGUAAAGCUCUGUUAAUCGGGACGAAAGGCCUUCUUGCGAAUAGUGAGAAGGAUUGACGGUACCGGAAUAGAAAGCCACGGCUAACUACGUG